UGUGACCCAAGCUUAGCCUGCAAAGUAGCUGAACAUGCUGGCUACCCCUUGCUGCCCUGCCUCCCCUCCUCAAAGCUAGGCAGAACAUCUGGCCUCUUGCUAACCCUCAACAGUUUGGCAAGGACUUUUAGGAACCUGGCUGGGCAGAACCAAAGGUUGGAAUGAUCCAAAGCAGGCCUUACUACCCUACAGAGAACCUGGAGCUUAUAGCUUAGAGAGUAACUACCCCAUCUUAAACAUUGGCUCCUGAAGCCUCUGCAGGGUUCUCUGAGGUUCUGGGUCUGCAGAAGUCGGGGAGCCAUCUAGGAGGAUGUACAGAGAAACACAGAUCUCAGCUCUCUGGCAAAAAAGAUAAGAAAAAUGUAAAUAGUUGGCGGUCUGACUAAGAAAAUCUCUGCUGGAGUAGUUGUCUUGGCUCAUUGACAUUGAGAGUGACAUGGGUCCUUCUAAUCAUGCUUACUGAGGUCCUACUAAUCAUGCUUAUUGAGGUCCUACUAAUCAUGCUUACUGAGGUCCUACUAAUCAUGCUUACUGAGGUCCUACUAAUCAUGCUUACUGGGGUCCUACUAAUCAUGCUUCUCCUGCUUUUGUUUUCUUCUGGGGAAUGAGGCCUGUGUUCACUCUGCUCUUUCUAAGCUGUGGAGAGAAAGGGAGAAAAAGGCUUGCAGACCCAACCUCCAAUACCACAGAAGUCUUUGGUCCCAGUCAAAGCUCUUUGGAGGAAAAAGCCUUUGGAAGUCGUGAUUCUGGAAGCUAUCCAAGGUGAUAGCCAGGAAGCCACAUUGGCCUUGGCCAGUGGUUAGGGAGGAAUCUUCAGUCCCUCCCAGGAUCUGUGACUGUCAUUACUGCUGACAUGAGCUGACUUCAUUGCCCUGCUGGGCCACCAACAGCUCUGCUUCGGACUUACCAAAUCUAGACCCAACAUGCAGUACCAGUCUCUUCCAGCAGCCCCCAGCAAGGUGAGGGCUGAUGCGUACUGGAAUUUUGCACUCUUUCCUCUUUUCUUUUGAAAUACAACCACAUUUAAGAAUAGAUUUAGAGAGCUCAAAGAUAAUGUAGUUGAUAAAUUGUCUGGCACAUAUGCAGAAGGGGCUGGAUCCAGAUUCUUCUAGAAGCUAGAUGUAGUGAUGCCCAUUGACCUGCCAAUCUAGCUGAGUCAAGGAGCUCUGGGUACAGGGAGAUAAACCAUCUCAAAAAAUAAUUUGGAGUGCAAUCCAGGAAAACACCUGAUAUGAACUUCUACCCUCCACAUACACACUCACACACACACACACACACACACACACACACACACACACAUAUGUAUGUGUAGCCACAUAUAUACAUUCACAAAUCCACCUGAUCAGAUACCUACAUCCUCUACACACACAAAGAAUAUGUUUCCCCUAUUUGUCCUGGGUGCUGCAGAUGGAACCCAGGGCUUCAUGCAUGCUAAACAUGUAUUUCCUUCUUUCUUUCUCUCUCUCUUUGUUUUUU
rnacentral:lncRNA from 1 species